rnacentral:rRNA from 1 species
AGCAGCCGCGGUAAUUCCAGCUCCAAUAGCGUAUAUUAAAGUUGUUGCAGUUAAAAAGCUCGUAGUUGAAUUUCGGGACUAAUAUGUCGGUCGUGCCUCGGUACGUACUGGUUUAUUGGUUUCUCCUUUCUGAAGAACCGUGAUGUCAUUUAUUUGGUGUCGUGGGGAAUCAGGACUGUUGCUUUGAAAAAUUAGAGUGUUUAAAGCAGGCUCACGCUUGAAUACAUUAGCAUGGAAUAAUGAAAUAGGACGUUUGAUUCUAUUUUGUUGGUCUCUAGGAUCGACGUAAUGAUUAAUAGGGAUAGUUGGGGGCAUUAGUAUUCAAUUGUCAGAGGUGAAAUUCUUGGAUUUAUUGAAGACUAACUACUGCGAAAGCAUUUGCCAAGGAUGUUUUCAUUAAUCAAGAACGAAAGUUAGGGGAUCGAAGACGAUCAGAUACCGUCGUAGUCUUAACCAUAAACUAUGCCGACUAGGGAUCGGAUGAUGUUAAUUUUUAAUGUACUCAUUCGGCGCCUUACGG